rnacentral:rRNA from 1 species
GACGAACGCUGGCGGCGUGCUUAACACAUGCAAGUCGAACGAAGAGCGAUGGAAGCUUGCUUCUUUCAAUCUUAGUGGCGAACGGGUGAGUAACGCGUAAUCAACCUGCCCUUCAGAGGGGGACAACAGUUGGAAACGACUGCUAAUACCGCAUACGAUCUAAUCUCGGCAUCGAGGAUAGAUGAAAGGUGGCCUCUACAUGUAAGCUAUCACUGAAGGCGGGGUUGGCGGCUGAUUAGCUAGUGGGUGGGGUAACGGCCCACCAAGGCGAUGAUCAGUAGCCGGUCUGGGAGGAUGAACGGCCACAUUGGGACUGAGACACGGCCCAGACUCCUACGGGAGGCAGCAGUGGGGAAUCUUCCGCAAUGGACGAAAGUCUGACGGGGCAACGCCGCGUGGGCGAUGACGGCCUUCGGGUUGUAAAGCUCUGUUAAUCGGGACGAAAGGCCUUCUUGCGAAUAGUGAGAAGGAUUGACGGUACCGGAAUAGAAAGCCACGGCUAACUACGUG